GUCUUUGUGGUGUAAUGGUCAGCACACUCGGCGCGUAUUCGAGAGGUCGUAGUUCGAAUCCAGGCCAGGACA
rnacentral:tRNA from 1 species